rnacentral:lncRNA from 1 species
AGGAUAAACUUAAAAAGGUGCUAUUUUGGUCAUUUUAGUUUUUGAGUGCUAUUUUUGUGAUAUAAACUUAGAAAUGUGCUAUUUUGGAGAUUUGCCCUUUUAAAAUUUGCAUGUGGAUUAAUUUCCUCAAAUACCUAAAUUUAAAAUUUCAGAAAAUAAAUUAUAGAAAUAUUUUAAAAUGAAAUAAAAUUAAUGAUAUAUCCUAAUAAACUAAAUAUCAGUAAAAUAGGGAAAUCAGCUAUUGAUUAAGGAAUGCAAUUAUAU